rnacentral:lncRNA from 1 species
GGAGAGUGAGUCAGAAAUGGUUUUGCUGCCGAAUGCAUUAUCUGGCCAUGUUCACAGCCCUGUACUGCACAAGCGAUCGCCUGAUCGAUCCGAAAUUAGAGGGAAAGGUAGAGUGAAAAUUGAUUUCUUGCAGAGACUGAGGCGCCAAAUGAAAGAGGGAAUAAACAUUUGCCCUGGAUAAAAAUGUUCUUGGAAAGUAGGAGCUUGUAAGGAUGAAUUUGAAGUAAAGGGGCUUGAAGAAGGCAGUGUGAAGGCUUUAAGGUCCCAAUUUCCUGCAUUCAAAGUACAAACUCAGUUAAA